rnacentral:lncRNA from 1 species
CUGGAAGGAAGGGACAGGAGAGAAAAGGGAAAAUGACGAAGAGCCGGCACAACCUAAAACACCACAGUCCCUGCGGCCUUCUAACUAAGGGGCCACAGCCACACACCACUCCACAGACCCUGAGGAUAUGACUGUGAGGACAAAGUCAUGAACAUGCAUCAGAUGUUCUAGUUCCAAUGCUAAUUUUUGCUGUUUUAGUGUUUGUAGUGUAACUACAAGCCAUUUAGCCUCCCUCAACCUCAGCUUCUUCAAUCAUAAAAUGAAGAUAGUCAAGUUGCCUUUCCAGAUCUCCACGUUGAAUAUGAAAGCAGUCUAAGAACUAAAGUGUGAUAACAUGUACAGGUGAAGAAUGUUAU